UCUGAAACCAGAUUAGCCAUCACUCGCGCAUGCUCACAGACUGCUGUAAGGAUGGAAUGAAAUGAAAAGCACCUUGUGCAGAGUUGGGAUAUAGCAGAUAAGGCGGAUGAGGCUGGUUGUUGAAGAAAUGAGAUGUUCUUCCCAGUGUUCGCUUCCAUUUCUUCUCUCCACUCGGAGCUGAAACACCCACUCCCUCCGGAGAUUUGUUUAAAUACUACAUGAAUGAGCCUAUAUUGAACCGGGUCCACAAGGGCACAAGCACCUCCUCAGCCAAUAACACGAGAAACAGUUUGCAGAAACCAAAAGUACCACUCUCAACCACUUGCCCCUUCAACAAGAGGUACGACUUUUAACAAAAAGAAUGCUAGGACAGCAGGAAUAUGCCACGCAAUGUGCCGGGAUGAGCUGUCAGUGCUUUUAGCAGAUAAUCAGAGCCCUGCCUUAAACUGCCCUUUCUUGCCAUUUGCUGAAUAUUCGUUCAUGGGAAGUAGCCAGGAAAGUGAAUUGAAAAGACUAUGCUCUGGAAAUGAGAUGUCCUACAGAUUUGUAGGCUCGUUAAUUAGGUCAACGUUAAUAGUUUCUGCAGGACUACAAGGGUUUUACUCAAAAAGAUCCUUGGCCACCUAUGUCUCAGUCAAGGACAUGUCACAAUUGUGAGCACUCGAAGGAGCAGCUGCAAUCAAGUGAAGUCGCUAUCGGCUGUGUGUCCGCUGGCAGGGAAAGGCCGACGGCCUCCUGCCAUUUGUGAUAUUCUUUGAGGACGCAGGAGAGUGCAGGAGGGAAG
rnacentral:lncRNA from 1 species